rnacentral:piRNA from 1 species
CAACUCAGUAAAUUGCUCCAGCCCCUU